CAUUGCCAACACGUGAGAGGAAACCCAGCAGCUUAUCAUCUCUUCCCAGUUUCUGCAGUAGCAGCACCAGGCUGAGAUGGCCGAUAUACCUCUUCAUUCCUGCCCUCGGUUCCUUGGACUCUGCUUCUACCAUGUCUUCCUUGCCUUCUGGUGCACCUUUGUGGGCAGUGGCUCUGCCGUGACAGUGACCCAGACUCCAAGCUUUCUCACUGGCCCGACUGGGCAGAAAAUAUCCUUCAUUUGCUCUGUGGAUGAUACAAGCUACAGGAUUUUUUUGUAUCACCAAUUGCCUGGGAAAACAGAACUGAAAGCCCUGGGGUACCUCCCUGCUUCUGGUAAAACAUUUGAAGAUAUUCCACCUGAAUUGAAGAAUCGGCUGAAAACACAGGGUUCUAGCCAGAAUUUGGGUUUUGAAUUGUCAAAUCUACAGACAGAUGACGCAGGCUUGUAUCUGUGUGCUGGGGUGUACACAGUGAAAGAGAAAGGAACAGUGGCAGAAACAUGGUUACUGAUAGAUGAAGAGGCUUCGGAAUAA